CUAUAAAUAGAGAUCAAUUUGUUAGGAUCAGCAUCCAUUUGAAUAGAUGAAUUGAAGAUAGACAAGAAGAGUGGUCUAGCAUGAAAAUAAGAGCCUUAGUUUGGUAGCCAAGGAUGACUUGCCUGCUGCUACCCAAUUUGUGUUUCCUGUAGAAACAUAAAGACUAUCACUUCAGUUUUCUAUAGAACCCAAAUGUAUGUUUUCAGGCAUGUCACCUUGGCUAAUCUGACAGGCUCUUCUUUGUCAUGCUAGACCUUCUUUUCUUUCUCCAGACAAGCCUAGAUAAUUAAGUCGUAUCUCUACAAUUCCAUCAGAUUCAGGAACUGAAAAAUGAUUGCAUCUGAAGGGGGACAAAAGAAGGUCUAACAUGAAGAAAAGAGUCUUUUUGUUAGCCAAGGAUGACUUGCCCGAUACAUAUGUAAGAGGUUUCAAGAGUGAUACUUGAGCCUUUUCUUGGGUACCGGGCAGUCUCCUUGGCUACACAGACAGCCUCUUUUCAGCCUUUGUUUCCUGACGCCAAUUGAUUUGCAUGGUUAGUUCUGAGUAAUUUCCUAUUGCCAAAGGUGACAAAAACAGUUGUUGAUCUCAGGAUAAUUGGUAGAGAAGAAGAAAAGAAUGAGGGAAAGAAGAAGAAGAUGAUUUUUAGGAUCAUCACUGCUCUGAUACCAACUUGUUAUGACCCAAAGUCAUAAUUUGUGUUUGAAAUGAGAGAAAGAGUUAAAAAGAGAUGAGAUUGGAAGAGAAUAAAAACUAUAUUGUAUUAUGAUCUUUGAUAAUCCUCUUUUACAAUAUGUAGAAGGUUUAUAUACAAAAUUCCAUUAA